AAAAAUUUAGUUAAAUUAAUAACAUUAGUUUGUCAAACUAAAAUUAUUGGAUAAAUAAUUUUUA
rnacentral:tRNA from 1 species